UGGCUCAGUCGGUAGAGCAUGUGACUCUAGAUCUCAGGGUUGUGAGUUCAAGCCCCAC
rnacentral:tRNA from 1 species